AGAGAUACUAUAAUAAAUGAUAUCGUGACCCGUGCACACAUAAGUGGAUCAAAGCCCACCCCCAUGUCCUUCAACUUUUAAGUCCCCGAGGUGUAGGACAGUCGGUGAUGGAGUGAUUUGUUAAGCCACUCCGUGAUGUUAAAGUCAUCAGUUCGAAACCUGCGGGGAAAAAAAAUCCAACCAUGUUAAGAGUUGGUGUGGCUCAGGCCGGGUGCGAUCCCCGGGUGAUUUUGACAGCUUAGAUGCCCCUGAGUCAUGGUUUCUCAAGCCACAGGUUAAUCGCGUAGCCAACAGGUUCCGCAAAAAUUAACAAAAAAAAAUAAAAAUCAAACCUUAAUAUAUUUAAUAUAAUUAACAUAUAACCUUAUAAGUACAAUUGACUCAAAACUAGUGCAAAUAAGGGGAAUAAGAUAGUUUAAUUAAAAAAAAGCUUUGCGAUGGUCCCUGCGGAUGCUGACGCAAUGUGAUUUAUGCCCAAUACUUUUCACCAUGUCAAAGUGAAGAAAUUAAACCAAGCACAUGUAAACACUGGGAGUAAGUAUGUUGACUUUCUUAAGGUAGCCAACCGCCUCAUCAUCUAAUUAGUGAUGCACAUGAAUGGAUUAACGAGAUUCCCACUAUCCCUAUAUACUAUAUAAAGAAACCAAAACCAAGGGAACAUGCUUGGAAAAGUCAGUAGGGAACAAAGAACCUGUUGAGCUUGACUCUAGUCCGACUUUGUGAAAUGACUUGAGAGGUGUAGAAUAAGAGGGAGCCAUUUUUGGCGCAAGUGAAAUACCACUAAUUUUAACGUUAUUUUACUUAUUUUGUGGGGCAGAGAUGGGGAAUUUCCCAUGUUUUUUCCAUAAGACAUGUUUCGAUGGGUCAAACUGGGUGAAAUACAUUUUCAGGUGGGGAGUUUUCUUAUUCCUUUAAUGUUAUUUUACUUAUUCCUUGAAUUCUUGUGGAAUAAAUGAAGAUCUUACAAAUAAACGAUAAAUUUUGAAGUGGGUGAUUGGCUUCUGUCCAAAGAUUAAAAAAUGAUCAGGUUUUAUGGAGUGGAAGUCAAACCUUUCAUGUUACCUCUCUUGCUAACCCUUCAUAAAAUGAUUUGUCUUUAUGGAGUGGAAGUCUAACCUUUCAUAAUAUCAAUGCAGAUGUACAUAGCUAUUUCCUACUAGAGAUUCUUGU
rnacentral:ncRNA from 1 species